rnacentral:lncRNA from 1 species
AAAGUUUUUUCCAGUAAUGUUGAAAACUUUAUUAAGGUUUAUGACUAUGAUUUCCAACUUCCUAAAUAAUGUUUCGAGGUAUAAAAUUAUUGGAGAAUCAAUUUAAAACUAUUUUUCGUGUUAGGAUACUGCAUUAUACUGAACUAAGCAUCUGUGUAUUGGCUUUCGUACUGCCAUACUUUCUUAAUGGAUAUGCAUUUCACAGUUUUCACAUAUAUCCGGUGGAUUUUGAGAAAAAUGGCUGGCCCAUGGAAACAUGGGCACCCUGUAUAAUAUUGAUAUAAUAGAUGUAAGAGAUAUGUAAUCAUUACUUUCUAAAUCAUGAGCAUAUUCAGUUUGCUUUUGAUAAUUUUUGAAAGCUUUAUUAAUUAAAGUUUGUAGUCCUUUUAUGUCAGAUAUAGAGCAAUCAUAAUACAAUC